AUUGAACGCUGGUGGCAGGCCUUACACAUGCAAGUCGAGCGGAGCGGCGGACGGGUGAGUAAUACCUAGGAAUCGGCCUGGUAGCGGGGGCUAACGUUAGGAAACGGACGCUAAUACCGCAUACUAUCAGAUGAGCCUCGGGCGGAUUAGCUAGUUGGGGAGGUAAUGGCUCACAAAGGCUACGAUCCGUAACUGGUCUGAGAGGAUGAUCAGUCACACUGGAACUGAGACACGGCCCAGACUCCUACGGGAGGCAGCAGGGGGGAAUAUUGGACAAUGGGCGAAAGCCUGAUCCAGCCAUGCCGCGUGUGUGAAGAAGGUCUUCGGAUUGUAAAGUACUUUAGGUUGGGAGGCGUUACCGACAGAAUAAGCACCGGCUAACUCUGUGCCAGCAGCCGCGGUAAUUC
rnacentral:rRNA from 1 species